rnacentral:rRNA from 1 species
ACUCCUACGGGAGGCAGCAGUGGGGAAUAUUGGACAAUGGGGGCAACCCGUAGCAUCCAGCAAUACCGCGUGUGUGAAGAAGGCCUUCGGGUUGUAAAGCACUUUCAGUUGGGAGGAAGGCUGAUUAUCGAAUAGGUAAUCAGAUUGACGUUACCAACAGAAGAAGCACCGGCUAACUCUGUGCCAGCAGCCGCGGUAAUACAGAGGGUGCAAGCGUUAAUCGGAAUUACUGGGCGUAAAGGGCGCGUAGGUUGUUUGUUAAGUUAGAUGUGAAAUAUCCGGGCUCAACCUGGACAUGUCAUCUAAAACUGGCAGACUAGAGUGCAGUAGAGGGAAGUGGAAUUUCCGGUGUAGCGGUGAAAUGCGUAGAUAUCGGAAGGAACAUCAGUGGCGAAGGCGACUUCCUGGACUGACACUGACACUGAGGCGCGAAAGCGUGGGUAGCGAACAGGAUUAGAUACCCUGGUAGGCUC